rnacentral:rRNA from 1 species
UACGUAGGGUGCAAGCGUUGUCCGGAAUUAUUGGGCGUAAAGAGCUCGUAGGCGGUCUGUCACGUCGGCUGUGAAAUCCCGAGGCUCAACCUCGGGUCUGCAGUCGAUACGGGCAAACUAGAGUAUUGCAGGGGAGACUGGAAUUCCUGGUGUAGCGGUGAAAAUGCGCAGAUAUCAGGAGGAACACCGGUGGCGAAGGCGGGGUCUCUGGGCAAUAACUGACGCUGAGGAGCGAAAAGCGUGGGGGAGCGAACAGG